rnacentral:rRNA from 1 species
UCCUACGGGAGGCAGCAGUGGGGAAUAUUGGACAAUGGGGGCAACCCUGAUCCAGCCAUGCCGCGUGUGUGAAGAAGGCCCUCGGGUUGUAAAGCACUUUCAGCGAGGAAGAACGCCUAGCGGUUAAUACCCGCUAGGAAAGACAUCACUCGCAGAAGAAGCACCGGCUAACUCCGUGCCAGCAGCCGCGGUAAUACGGAGGGUGCAAGCGUUAAUCGGAAUUACUGGGCGUAAAGCGCGCGUAGGUGGCUUGAUAAGCCGGUUGUGAAAGCCCCGGGCUCAACCUGGGAACGGCAUCCGGAACUGUCAAGCUAGAGUGCAGGAGAGGAAGGUAGAAUUCCCGGUGUAGCGGUGAAAUGCGUAGAGAUCGGGAGGAAUACCAGUGGCGAAGGCGGCCUUCUGGACUGACACUGACACUGAGGUGCGAAAGCGUGGGUAGCAGACAGGAUUAGAUACCCUGGUAGUCCACGCCGUAAACGAUGUCGACCAGCCGUUGGGUGCCUAGCGCACUUUGUGGCGAAGUUAACGCGAUAAGUCGACCGCCUGGGGAGUACGGCCGCAAGGUUAAAACUCAAAUGAAUUGACGG